rnacentral:rRNA from 1 species
CGCAACCCCAGGUCAGGCGGGG